UUCGCAAUGCCCGAAAGGGUGACGAAGCGACGCCGCGUGUGGGAAGAAGGCCUUCGGGUUGUAAACCACUGUCGGGAGUUAGGAAAUGUAAGGGUGCUAAUAGUAUCCUUACUUGACUAAGGCUCCGGAGGAAGCCACGGCUAACUCUGUGCCAGCAGCCGCGGUAAUACAGAGGCGGCAAGCGUUGUUCGGAAUUAUUGGGCGUAAAGAGCACGUAGGCGGCCUUGUAAGUCAGUUGUGAAAGCCUUCUGCUUAACGGAAGAACAGCAGCUGAUACUGCAAGGCUAGAGUGCGGAAGGGGAGAGUGGAACUUCUGGUGGAGCGGUGAAAUGCGUAGAUAUCAGAAGGAGCACCGGCGGCGAAGGCGACUCUCUGGUCCGUAACUGACGCUGAGUGUGCGAAAGCUAGGGGAGCAAACGGGAUUAGAUACCCCGGUAGUCCUAGCCGUAAACGAUGGGCACUAAGUAGAGGGGUUUUA
rnacentral:rRNA from 1 species